ensembl:lincRNA Gm14267 predicted gene 14267
CGAGAUCAUCAAGUUUCCCUUAAAGUAACUGGUUUCAGAUGCAUUUUGAUGAGGCCAUGCUGUAGGCAGGAUGCGGCUAUUUUAAAAGGCCUGAUGGAGGCUGGGCGACAUUCUUCAUAAACGCCAGUGACGGGGUUCCCUGUUCUCAUAGAGUGUCGGGAUGCUUUGGAAACCCUGUGUGUACUUACGGCGAAUGACCACACCGGGACAGCUUGUCAGGAGGCAGGAGUGACGUCACCUGUCAAUUUCUCUGGCUCAGUUAGCCCUACCCCAAAGGCCCUGCCUGUGCCCUGCAGCACUUUCCCGAAGGGCAGAGGGGCCUUGGAGGAGGAAGGUUGGUAAGCAUGCCUCAGCUGGGGUCUGGAAGGCCUCCCCACUCACCACAACAGCUUCCUAGACACCCAUGGAGAUGUGAAAAUAUGAUAGUGGCUGUAACUCAGUUGGUAGAGUGCUCGCCUAGAGUGCAUGAGGCCCUGGGUUCGAACCCUGGCCUGGCAGAGAACAAACCAUUCAACAACCAACCAACCAACCAACCAACCAAUCACACAGACCCUCUUUGAACAAGAGCAAGACAGCAGAAGGAAGGAUGUAAAAGUUAAGCCUG